CUAGGCAGUUGUAUUACAAGUUACAACAGAAGGUGGUGCUGAAAGAGAUAUAAAGAUCAGAAUAGGAAAAGCUAGAUCCUGCAUUCAUUAGACUAGGCAACAUCUGGAAAACAACAGCCUUUUCAAAGAAGACCAAGCUCAGGCUCUAUAACAGCUGUGUACUUUCUGUACUCAUAUAUGGCUCAGAGUGCCGGAUAAUGACUGAGAAAGAUAUCAACAGGCUACUAUAAAAGAUGUCUGAGGAAAAUAAUGAAAAUAUUCUGGCUAAACAAAAUCUCCAACAAAGACCUACAUGAGAUGACCAGCACCAAGGACAUGGAGACUUUGCUGAUAUAAAAAAGCUGGCGAUGGCUUGGUCAUGUUAUACGCAAAACAUCUGAUGACAUGACCAAGGUAGCCCUUAGAUGGACACCAGAGGAAAAAAGAAAAAGAGGCCGACCUCAAACAACAUAAAGACGCACCAUAGAAAAUGAGCUAAAGGAUAGAGGAUAUACCUGGGGCAAAGUGGAAAGAAAAGCAAAC
rnacentral:lncRNA from 1 species